AUUGAACGCUGGCGGCAGGCCUAACACAUGCAAGUCGAGCGAUCUUCUUCGGAAGAGAGCGGCGGACGGGUGAGUAACGCGUGGGUAACCUGCCCUAUACACAUGGAUAACAUACCGAAAGGUAUGCUAAUACAGGAUAAUAUGUUUUGAUCGCAUGGUCGAAAUAUCAAAGCUCCGGCGGUAUAGGAUGGACCCGCGUCUGAUUAGCUAGUUGGCAAGGUAAUGGCUUACCAAGGCGACGAUCAGUAGCCGACCUGAGAGGGUGAUCGGCCACAUUGGAACUGAGACACGGUCCAAACUCCUACGGGAGGCAGCAGUGGGGAAUAUGCACAAUGGGCGAAAGCCUGAUGCAGCAACGCCGCGUGAGCGAUGAAGGCCUU
rnacentral:rRNA from 1 species